UUGGUGGGGUAAUGGCCCACCAAGGCGACGACGGGUAGCCGGCCUGAGAGGGCGACCGGCCACACUGGGACUGAGACACGGCUCAGACUCCUACGGGAGGCAGCAGUGGGGAAUAUUGCGCAAUGGGCGGAAGCCUGACGCAGCGACGCCGCGUGAGGGAUGAAGGCCUUCGGGUCGUAAACCUCUUUCAGCAGGGAAGAAGCGAAAGUGACGGUACCUGCAGAAGAAGCACCGGCUAACCACGUGCCAGCAGCCGCGGUAAUACGUAGGGUGCAAGCGUUGUCCGGAAUUAUUGGGCGUAAAGAGCUCGUAGGCGGUCUGUCGCGUCUGCUGUGAAAACUCAGGGCUUAACCCUGAGCUUGCAGUGGGUACGGGCAGACUAGAGUGCGGUAGGGGAGACUGGAAUUCCUGGUGUAGCGGUGAAAUGCGCAGAUAUCAGGAGGAACACCGGUGGCGAAGGCGGGUCUCUGGGCCGUAACUGACGCUGAGGAGCGAAAGCAUGGGGAGCGAACAGGAUUAGAUACCCUGGUAGUCCAUGCCGUAAACGUUGGGCGCUAGGUGUGGGGACCUUUCCAUGGUUUCCGUGCCGCAGCUAACGCAUUAAGCGCCCCGCCUGGGGAGUACGGCGCGGCCUAUCAGCUUGUUGGUGGGGUAAUGGCCUACCAAGGCGACGACGGGUAGCCGGCCUGAGAGGGCGACCGGCCACACUGGGGCUGA
rnacentral:rRNA from 1 species